GGAAGGAUCAUUAAAAAUGCGGGGGGCUCUCUUUGGGGGCUUUCUCUUCUUUUUAUCUUGUGCACUGUUUUUAUGGGUGGGCCUCCCUUUGGGGGGGUUCAUCCGCCCUGGGCAUGGCUAUUUUUUCCCUCGGGAGAAUCUUGGCCUGCCCGGUGCUCUUUCCUAACGGACUGGGCAACAUUUUAACUAUUCUGACUGAACCUAACAAGAAAAUUGUUAAUCAUAAACAACUUUCAGCAAUGGAUCUCUCGGCUUUCGUAUCGAUGAAGAACGCAGCAAAUCGCGAUAUGUAGUGUGAUCUGCCCAUAGUGAAUCAUCAAAUCUUUGAACGCAUCUUGCACCCCUGGGUAUUCCUGGGGGUACGCCUGUUUCAGUAUCAUUUAUACUUCUCUCCCCCGAAAGGGUGUGCUGGGAAAAAUCACUACUGGCCCCCGAGGAUAUUUUCUCUGGCGGCUUAAAUGCUCUGGCAUCCCUCUUUAGAGUUGCUUCUUACCCUUUGGUAGUUUAUUCUGCUAAAAGCAACGAGAAACUCUAUAGAGGUGCCCCUGCUCAUUUUAUCUCUUGAUCUGAAAUCAGGCGGGAUUACCCGCUGAACUUAAGCAUAUCAAUAAGCGGAGGAAAAGAAAAUAACAAUGAUUCCCUCAGUAACGGCGAGUGAACAGGGAAAAGCUCAAAGUUGGAACCUCCUGGCCCUAGGCCUGGCGGAUUGUAAACUAAAGCUCUCGAGUAGUUCGGCUAGCCUGGUAAAAAAGUUCUCUGGAAAGGGACGACAUGGAGGGUGAAAUCCCCGUCUUUGGCCAGAGCAUAGUCCAGCGUUUGCUUGGGAGUGAAGAGUCAGGUUGUUUGGUAUUGCAGCCUAAAGCUGGAGGUAAAUCUCUCCUAAAGCUAAAUAUUGACGAAAGACCGAUAGCGAACAAGUACCGUGAGGGAAAGAUGAAAAGCACUUUGAAAAGAGGGUCAAAAAGUACGUGAAAUUGCUGAAAGGGAACCGUAUGAAAUCAGCCUGUCUCUUUGGUAAUCAACCUGGAAUUCGUUCUGGGUGCACUUGCCGGUGAGUCAGCCUGCGACAAUUUGACUUGGGGGAAAAAAUCGGGGGGAAUGUGGCCUCGGCUUCGGUCGUGGUGUUAUAGCCCUUUGAAAAAUACCCUGGGUUGGAUUGAGGACUGCAGCGAGCCUUUGGGAUGAACUGUGGGUGCUUGGCUUUGCCUUGAAAGAAAUCUCUGCUUCGGGUGGUGUCUUUCUCGGCGGGGUCAACUCGCCUACUUUUUCUUUUUCUCGCUUAGGUCGCAGGCAUAAUGAUUUUAUAUGACCCGUCUUGAAACACGGACCAAGGAGUCCACCAUGAUUGCGAGUCUUUGGGUGUAAAAACUCAUGGGCGCAAGGAAACUGACCAAGAUAUGAAGGCUUCGGCUGGCAAUAUCCUCCAGCGAGGACGUUUUAUACUGAAUUGACUGAGAGAAAGCAAUCAUGAUGGGACCCGAAAGAUGGUGAACUAUACUUGAAUAGGGUGAAGCCAGAGGAAACUCUGGUGGAAGCUCGUAGCGAUUCUGACGUGCAAAUCGAUCGUCAAAUUUGAGUAUAGGGGCGAAAGACUAAUCGAACCAUCUAGUAGCUGGUUCCUGC
rnacentral:misc_RNA from 1 species